GGGCCCGCACAAGCGGCGGAGCAUGCGGAUUAAUUCGAUGCAACGCGAAGAACCUUACCUGGGUUUGACAUACACCGGAAAAGAUCAGAGAUGGUCUCCCCGUAAGGCUGGUGUACAGGUGGUGCAUGGCUGUCGUCAGCUCGUGUCGUGAGAUGUUGGGUUAAGUCCCGCAACGAGCGCAACCCUCGUUUCUUGUUGCCAGCGGUUCGGCCGGGGACUCAAGAGAGACUGCCGGGGUCAACUCGGAGGAAGGUGGGGACGACGUCAAGUCAUCAUGCCCCUUAUGUCCAGGGCUUCACGCAUGCUACAAUGGCCGGUACAGAGGGUUGCGAUACCGUGAGGUGGAGCGAAUCCCAUAAAGCCGGUCUCAGUUCGGAUUGGGGUCUGCAACUCGACCCCAUGAAGUCGGAGUCGCUAGUAAUCGCAGAUCAGCAACGCUG
rnacentral:rRNA from 1 species